rnacentral:ncRNA from 1 species
GCUGAUCUUCCCCAAGAGUCCACAUCGACGGGAAGGUUUGGCACCUCGAUGUCGGCUCUUCGCCACCUGGAGCUGUAG